rnacentral:rRNA from 1 species
GACGAACGCUGGCGGCGGGCUUAACACAUGCAAGUCGAACGGAAAGGCCCUGCUUUUGUGGGGUGCUCGAGUGGCGAACGGGUGAGUAACACGUGAGUAACCUGCCCUUGACUUUGGGAUAACUUCAGGAAACUGGGGCUAAUACCGGAUAGGAGCUCCUGCUGCAUGGUGGGGGUUGGAAAGUUUCGGCGGUUGGGGAUGGACUCGCGGCUUAUCAGCUUGUUGGUGGGGUAGUGGCUUACCAAGGCUUUGACGGGUAGCCGGCCUGAGAGGGUGACCGGCCACAUUGGGCCUGAGAUACGGCCCAGACUCCUACGGGAGGCAGCAGUGGGGAAUAUUGCACAAUGGGCGGAAGCCUGAUGCAGCAACGCCGCGUGCGGGAUGACGGCCUUCGGGUUGUAAACCGCUUUCGCCUGUGACGAAGCGUGAGUGACGGUAAUGGGUAAAGAAGCACCGGCUAACUACGUG